GACGGAGGAUGCAAGUGUUAUCCGGAAUCACUGGGCGUAAAGCGUCUGUAGGCGGCCUGUUAAGUCAGGGGUGAAAGACGGUAGCUCAACUAUCGCAGUGCCCUUGAUACUGAUGGGCUUGAAUGUACUAGAGGUAGGCGGAAUGUGACAAGUAGCGGUGAAAUGCAUAGAUAUGUCACAGAACACCAAUUGCGAAGGCAGCUUACUAUGGUAUUAUUGACGCUGAGGCACGAAAGCGUGGGGAUCAAACAGG
rnacentral:rRNA from 1 species